rnacentral:rRNA from 1 species
UUUUCCUCGGGGCGCAGCAGUGAGGAAUAUUGGUCAAUGGGCGAGAGCCUGAACCAGCCAAGUCGCGUGAGGGAAGACGGUCCUAUGGAUUGUAAACCUCUUUUGCCGGGGAGCAAAAAGCGGUACGUGUACCGCAUCGAGAGUACCCGGAGAAAAAGCAUCGGCUAACUCCGUGCCAGCAGCCGCGGUAAUACGGAGGAUGCGAGCGUUAUCCGGAUUUAUUGGGUUUAAAGGGUGCGCAGGCGGCGAGUUCAGUCAGCGGUAAAAUUUCGGGGCUCACCCCCGACAAGCCGUUGAAACAGGCU